GCGGUGGAGCAUGUGGUUUAAUUCGAUGCAACGCGAAGAACCUUACCUGGGCUUGACAUCUGGGGAAUCCCCUGGAAACAGGGGAGUGCCUUUCGGGGAGCCCCAAGACAGGUGCUGCAUGGCUGUCGUCAGCUCGUGCCGUGAGGUGUUGGGUUAAGUCCCGCAACGAGCGCAACCCUCGUGCUAUGUUGAUUUCUCAUAGCAGACUGCCUUGUACAGCAAGGAGGAAGGUGGGGAUGACGUCAAGUCAGCAUGGCCUUUAUGCCCUGGGCUACACACACGCUACAAUGGGUGGGUACAGAGGGUUGCCACGGAGCAAUCCGGAGCGAAUCCCUUAAAACCAUCCUCAGUUCGGAUUGCAGGCUGCAAUCGCCUGCAUGAAGCCGGAGCUGCUAGUAACCGCAGGUCAGCUAUACUGCGGUGAAUACGUUCUCGGGCCUU
rnacentral:rRNA from 1 species